UGGGGAAUAUUGCACAAUGGGCGAAAGCCUGAUGCAGCAACGCCGCGUGAGGGAAGACGGUUUUCGGAUUGUAAACCUCUGUUUUCGGUGACGAACAAAUGACGGUAACCGAGUAGGAAGCCACGGCUAACUACGUGCCAGCAGCCGCGGUAAUACGUAGGUGGCAAGCGUUAUCCGGAAUUACUGGGUGUAAAGGGAGCGCAGGCGGGAUAGCAAGUCAGCUGUGAAAACUAUGGGCUCAACCCAUAAACUGCUUUUGAAACUGUUUCCCUUGAGUAUCGGAGAGGCAGGCGGAAUUCCUAGUGUAGCGGUGAAAUGCGUAGAUAUUAGGAGGAACACCAGUGGCGAAGGCGGCCUGCUGGACGACAACUGACGCUGAGGCGCGAAAGCGUGGGGAGCAAACAGGAUUAGAUACCCUGGUAGU
rnacentral:rRNA from 1 species